rnacentral:tmRNA from 1 species
GGGGGCGCACUGGUUUCGACGGGGGUACAUGAGGUUACAGUUGCAUGCCGAGGACUCCGCUGGCCUCGUAAAAAAGCGGAAAAAAAUCAAUUGCCAACGAUUACGAAAACGUGGCACUGGCUGCUUAAUUAAGCCAGUAGGUUAGCAAGCAUGGCUGCUGCUGAUGUCUGCUGCGUGGGAGCCACUGCGGAGGGUGCGCUUGUGUGUGCAUCGUCGACCCGUGGGAUGGAUGCCAGAGCCUCUGGCGAAGGCAUCGAGCCAAGCCCUGCAUGGAUUGAAGGAGAGGGGUG